UGAAAUACUCAACGAGUCUUAAGGUGU
rnacentral:piRNA from 1 species